rnacentral:tRNA from 1 species
GCUCAAAAAGCUCUCUUUAAAGCGCUUUAUUCGGGGCUAGGGAGGUUUUUUGCCUGUUCUCUUAACAAAGCCUCA